rfam:beta proteobacterium KB13 scf_1106380163076 genomic scaffold, whole genome shotgun sequence.
GCGGGCGUAGUUUAAUGGUAAAACCUCAGUUUUCCAAACUGAUCUCGUGGGUUCGAUUCCCAUCGCCCGCU